GGAAGUGUGAUCAAAUCAACCAUCACUUCUGCAUUUUUAUUUGCAUAUUAUAAAUAUACAAGUGCACAUUCAAUCAAGAAAAAAGGGAACAAAAAGAAUACAUAUGACAAAAGCUCAUGCACAAGUUGACUUCCACCCAACUUAAACUAUCCUCCAUUUGUAGUUUCUAAAUUGGUGCAGGAAUUGCAAGUAUACUUGCAUUGUUGUCAGCUAGCAUGAUAUUUCCAUACUUGGUACACCAUAUAGAAAAUGAGGAGAAAAGACAGUAAGCAAGAAGGAACAGAUUGUUUCAUAGUUCAAAAUAA
rnacentral:misc_RNA from 1 species